GAGACCUCAGGUCAGGCGGGGCUACCCGCUGAGUUAAG
rnacentral:rRNA from 1 species